GACGUAGGGCGCGAGCGUUGUCCGGAUUUAUUGGGCGUAAAGAGCUCGUAGGCGGCUUGUCGCGUCGACUGUGAAAACCCGCGGCUCAACUGCGGGCUUGCAGCCGAUACGGGCAGGCUAGAGUUCGGUAGGGGAGACUGGAAUUCCCGGUGUAGCGGUGAAAUGUGUAGAGAUCGGGAGGAACACCGGUGGCGAAGGCGGUCUUCUGGACGGUGACUGACGCUGAGGCGCGAAAGCGUGGGGAGCAAACGGG
rnacentral:rRNA from 1 species